UCACUCACAUUCACUCACACAAACACUCACUCACUCACUCACAUUCACUCACACAAACACUCACUCACUCACUCACAUUCACUCACACAAACACUCACUCACUCACAUUCACUCACACAAACACUCACUCACUCACUCACAUUCACUCACACAAACACUCACUCACUCACAUUCACUCACACAAACACUCACUCACUCACAUUCACUCACUUACAUUCAGUUUCUCUCUCUCUCUCUGAAUGCAUUGUGGUCUGUCCAAAUGUUCCCACUGUUGAAUGCUCCUCUGCUAACCAUGUGGGAUCUCCAAAUUCACGGCAUUUGUCUGUUGUGUGUCUGCAGGUUGUGGCCGUCUCCUGUCUUGGUUGAAGCAGGCAGCACAACUACACCAGCUCUGCUAUGCUAUGAAGAAGACACCCCAUUUUGCCUGCCAGCUGCUCUGACAUGUUUUUCACUCAAGUGUGUGUGGAGUUCUAAAUGGAUACGGGUGUUGAUGUGGGACCAAGAACCCAGUGGGAUGAUUGAGCGCCUUUAUGACCUUAUUUUUAUAUUCCUGGGGACACUAACCUUGGGAGACAGACUGUAUAUGUGCUUUAGCCGAGGAGGGAAUAUCCUGCUUUAAAGAAACAAAACUUGAAUUUGUGAAUAGCCUUAUUUAUAGAUCACACUGCCAUAGAUGAAUACAUGCGAGUGAGUUUGCGUGCUGGAAGUGUGUUUUUUUUUUGUGUGUGUGUGUGUGUGUGUGUGUGUGUGUGUGUGUGUGUGUGUGUGUGUGUGUGUGUGUGUGUGUGUGUGUGAGUGUGAGUUUGCGUGCUGGAAGUGUGUGUGUGUGUGUGUGUGUGUGUUUGCGCGAGAUAGAUAGAUAGAGAGAGAGAGUGUGAGUGAGUGUGUGUGUGUGUGUGUGUGCGAGCGAGCGAGCGAGCGAGAGAGAUAGAGAGAGAGAGUGUGAGUGUGUGUGUGUGCAUGCGCGUCUGUGUUUUCUGUCUAUGACUCAAACCAACCUGAGCCUUUUUCCUCUCCAUGUAUGGUUAUCCACCAUGAAGUGCUUUUUCUCUCUCUCUCUCUCUCGCUUUAUGUAUCUCUCUCUCUCUCUCUCCAUCCCACCAUUAAUUUCGUUUUCUCUUCACUCCUUUCUUUUGUACAUUACUAUAAUAUUUCAACAGUUUCUCAUUUUGAGUUUAUAACAGCACACUGCAUCACACUGCCUGUUUAGUAAUAAGUGUUAUGUCUGUAAUUGUUUUGUAUAAAGUGCCUGUACAUGAUUAGCUCUCUACUUUUUUAUCAGAUUAAUAUAUUAAGUUGAUAUUAAUCGUUUAGUUUUGUCAAUAUGUUCCUGGUUUGGAAUGUUUUUGUUUUUGUUGAUAGGUUUGUUUGUGUUCCAGCCUGUUUCCUUGGGUGUCUGUAGAAGUAGCUUGUUUUUUUAUCAUUAUUUGAUUGCAUUUUGAAAGCCUUAAAGGGCGGCGGCGGCAUGGCGUGGUCUUUCUUGUAGGACUAUUUAAAGGGAAGUUUGUAGAUCUUGCACAGAUAAACAGUGUGGGUGGGUGGGUUGGACACAGUGAUUUAGUAGCAGCACCUGCUGCAGCUACAUUGAGCUGUUUUCAGCUUUACAAGCACUCAUAUGUUAAGCUAAUGUACACACACUAAGGUACCUAGAGAAUUUCCCCAGCACAUAGUUAUUCUUGCUGCCUCCUACAGCAACUACUGUAGAAAGGACCCUUUUCCACAGCCUAAAUAGACCAUCAAGCUGUCAAGUGAACUGCUACAGCAUGCUCAUUUCAUUUCAGAUGAAGUCCAAGAAUUAGCUUCAUGAAACUUUGAAUGCAAACAAAAUAUUCAGAUCUCUAUGACCCCCCCCCCCCCCCCAUCAUAUUUUUGUUGUACUAAUUGUACUCAGACUGUGAUCCACUGUGAAUCGGUUCCCUGUUUUAUGUCACAUUAAUGUGGUGCUGAUUGUGCCUGCUUUGAUGCUUUCAAUCAUUAGCUGACUGGAAUAAAAUGGUUGCCUUGAAUAUUUGCCUUUGGUUUGUCAUCUCUUGGUGUGCUGGUGGGGUUGAUAGAGGAGAUAGAUAGAUAGAUGGAUGGAUGGAUGGAUGGAUAGAUAGAUAGAUAGGUAGAUAUAUACUUUAUUAAUCCCGUGGGGAAAUUCAGGUAUCUUGCAGCUCACAUGGUGACAAUAAGUACAGACAAUACGAUACAAACAGACAAUACGAUACAAUACGGUUAUGUACAGUGUAAGAUGUAUAGUGCAAAAUAGUGUAGAGUCACAUAGUUGGAAGUUAUGGAAAAGAUGCAGACAACAUGUAUGGCUUUCAGUGUUCUUUUUGGUUGUUUAAUAAUCAGUACUUCAGAUUGGUGGGUUAUCCAUCCGGCCUGUAUUCAUGAAUUACUGCCAGACAAGCAUAAAUCCCUGGGCUGUCCGUGGAGGUGAGUAUCUUGAAUCAUCAUCUGUGUAUAUUUAUAGUUAUAGUUUAGAGUUUCUGUGGGAAUGUGAGUGAGUAUAUGUUAACUUGUCAGACAGCAUUCCUGAUUCAUUUGUGUGAUUGCAUGGCUCCUGACCAAAGAUGGGAAUAUGCCUCACAAAGCUGAACUUGGUGUAAAGGAGAUUGUCAUAGAGGGGAUACAAAACCAGAAGGAGAGGGGGAUGGAUGUGAGUGGAGACCCCCAGCCAAGUCAACAUGUGG
ensembl:lncRNA